AGAGUUUGAUCAUGGCUCAGAGUGAACGCUGGCGGCGUGCCUAACACAUGCAAGUCGAACGAGAACGGAUAUAAGUUUACUUAUAUUGUCAGCUAAGUGGCGCACGGGUGAGUAAUAUAUAGUUAAUCUGCCCUGAAGAAGAGAAUAAUUGUUGGAAACGACUUGUAAUGCUCUAUAUGCCUUUAUCACAUAAGUGAGCAAGGGAAAUAUUUAUAGCUUCGGGAUGAGACUGUACGGUAUCAGCUAGUUGGUGAGGUAAUGGCUCACCAAGGCUAUGACAUCUAACUGGUUUGAGAGGAUGAUCAGUCACACUGGAACUGAGACACGGUCCAGACUCCUACGGGAGGCAGCAGUGGGGAAUAUUGCACAAUGGAGGAAACUCUGAUGCAGCAACGCCGCGUGGAGGAUGACACAUUUCGGUGCGUAAACUCCUUUUAUUAGGGAAGAUAAUGACGGUACCUAAUGAAUAAGCACCGGCUAACUCCGUGCCAGCAGCCGCGGUAAUACGGGGGGUGCAAGCGUUACUCGGAAUCACUGGGCGUAAAGAGCAUGUAGGCUGAUUAGUAAGUUGGAAGUGAAAUCCUAUGGCUCCA
rnacentral:rRNA from 1 species